AUGAACGCUGGCGGCGUGCCUAAUACAUGCAAGUCGAGCGAACAGACGAGGAGCUUGCUCCUCUGACGUUAGCGGCGGACGGGUGAGUAACACGUGGAUAACCUACCUAUAAGACUGGGAUAACUUCGGGAAACCGGAGCUAAUACCGGAUAAUAUAUUGAACCGCAUGGUUCAAUAGUGAAAGACGGUUUUGCUGUCACUUAUAGAUGGAUCCGCGCCGCAUUAGCUAGUUGGUAAGGUAACGGCUUACCAAGGCGACGAUGCGUAGCCGACCUGAGAGGGUGAUCGGCCACACUGGAACUGAGACACGGUCCAGACUCCUACGGGAGGCAGCAGUAGGGAAUCUUCCGCAAUGGGCGAAAGCCUUACGGAGCAACGCCGCGUGAGUGAUGAAGGUCUUCGGAUCGUAAAACUCUGUUAUUAGGGAAGAACAAAUGUGUAAGUAACUAUGCACGUCUUGACGGUACCUAAUCAGAAAGCCACGGCUAACUACGUG
rnacentral:rRNA from 1 species